rnacentral:lncRNA from 1 species
UUUUAAAUAAACAAGUUAGUAAAUGCAAAACAACUGGAACAUGUUUAAGUUGGAACAAAACUUGUAUUCUUCAACUUCAUUAAAAGGGUUAAAACACUCAAUUAAUAGGUAGGGUUCAUUGGAAGUAGAAAACUAAGGAACAUUGUUGUAAACUUUGAAAAGUCCGGAGAGUCGUUUGAUAAAAGAGGAAACUCAAACUUAAAUAAAAAUAGCAAAUGUUAAAUAGGAAGGGUAAAAUGGUAAAAUGCUAAGAUAAGGUAGUUUAAAAUUCAGAAACAGGAUAACUUUCCAAAUACAUGUUGAGCAACCCUAAAAUGACCCCACCUUUCUUUUUAUGAAUUCUAAGUUGUUAAAAUCUUAUGUGUACACAAUCACCAUCAAAAUAAAGCACGAGUUUUAAUCACGUCACACCUUACUUUAAAAGAAAAGAAAUGGUUAUGACCUUGUAUAAGUGAAUGUGGUCCAAAAUACACCCUAUGCUUGUGCAAUAAUUAACAAGAUGAAACCUAUGCAUAAAAGCAUGUAACUAAAAUCUUGCAUAUGCAUCUCGUGUAGAAGCUAACCUCGUUAACGGAACAUACGAGCUUGGCCUGGAACGUGAAGAUGGACGCCCUUUUGCUGAGCUGGACGUAAUCAAGACAAAUCAAGGCCCGAACCAAAGUUCAGAAGAGCCCAAGCCUGAGUGAGGGCAAGAAGGCAAGCCCCAAAGCAUAACCCAGUUUUCUAGUUAUGCACUACUUAUGCUAGUUAUGUUUGUGCAUUAAGUUCAUAGGAGUAGCUUGAAACCCUAGGUUAAUGAUCCUAGGUACCUAUGUGCUGAAUAAUAAGGAUGACGGGCGGGGCCAGGCAAUUGGUUUUGAAUUGGUGGAUUGCCCCGCCUGUCUAGAAGAAAGCUGCUAAGGUCAAAAUGUGUUUAGAGUUGUGGUCAAGUGUUUGAAAGUACUAAGCUCAUAUCUAGUAUGGGAUGGGGAGCCUAGUACCUGAUUGAACCGUGGCGUGGACAUACUCCCCACUCUCUCUCGAACUGGGUUCCCAUGUGGCCACAUGUGGGUACAAGUGUAGCCACGGUACGGCGUCGUUCUGGAACCGUUGGGGCAUUGUAUCCAAGGGAAGUGGGACCUAGACACAUGCCGGGGAUCGAUGGGGACGGCUGAUAUAUGUGAAACCGGCAUGGUACGCAUAUAUCGUGGGUUUAGGUUCACCUUGCAAGGUUAAAAACUUGAUUCAAAUCAUCUGUUGCUCAUAGUUUGAGACUGUUUGACCGCAUUUUUGCACUGAGUAAGAAGUGGAACAAAGGAUGAUUAUUUAAUACUGAUGCUUGAAUUAAAUUGCUUGAUCACAUGCUUGAUUAGAAUAGGUUCUUACCUAGAAUGGAUAAUCAACUAGAACCUGAUGCUAAAACUUGAAAGUAAGGAUCUACUUUAGUUUCUUUUGGCAAAAUAAACC